rnacentral:rRNA from 1 species
CUCUAGAAGACAUCUGAAAGAGAUUAAAGAUUUAUCGGUGAUGGAUGGGGAUGCGUCUGAUUGGCUUGUUGGCGGGGUAACGGCCCACCAAGGCAACGAUCAGUAGGGGUUCUGAGAGGAAGGUCCCCCACAUUGGAACUGAGACACGGUCCAAACUCCUACGGGAGGCAGCAGUGAGGAAUAUUGGUCAAUGGGCGAGAGCCUGAACCAGCCAAGUAGCGUGCAGGAAGACGGUCCUAUGGGUUGUAAACUGCUUUUAUAAGGGAAUAAAGUUAGUCUCGUGAGACUUUUUGCAUGUACCUUAUGAAUAAGGACCGGCUAAUUCCGUGCCAGCAGCCGCGGUAAUACGGAAGGUCCGGGCGUUAUCCGGAUUUAUUGGGUUUAAAGGGAGCGUAGGCCGGAGAUUAAGCGUGUUGUGAAAUGUAGACGCUCAACGUCUGCACUGCAGCGCGAACUGGUUUCCUUGAGUACGCACAAAGUGGGCGGAAUUCGUGGUGUAGCGGUGAAAUGCUUAGAUAUCACGAAGAACUCCGAUUGCGAAGGCAGCUCACUGGAGCGCAACUGACGCUGAAGCUCGAAAGUGCGGGUAUCGAACAGGAUUAGAUACCCUGGUAGUCCGCACGGUAAACGAUGGAUGCCCGCUGUUGGUCUGAAUAGGUCAGCGGCCAAGCGAAAGCAUUAAGCAUCCCACCUGGGGAGUACGCCGGCAACGGUGAAACUCAAAGGAAUUGACGGGGGCCCGCACAAGCGGAGGAACAUGUGGUUUAAUUCGAUGAUACGCGAGGAACCUUACCCGGGCUUGAAUUGCAGAGGAAGGAUUUGGAGACAAUGACGCCCUUCGGGGCCUCUGUGAAGGUGCUGCAUGGUUGUCGUCAGCUCGUGCCGUGAGGUGUCGGCUUAAGUGCCAUAACGAGCGCAACCCCUCUCCUUAGUUGCCAUCAGGUGAAGCUGGGCACUCUGGGGACACUGCCACCGUAAGGUGUGAGGAAGGUGGGGAUGACGUCAAAUCAGCACGGCCCUUACGUCCGGGGCUACACACGUGUUACAAUGGCAGGUACAGAGAGACGGUCCCUUGCAAAAUGGAUCAAAUCCUUAAAGCCUGUCUCUGUUCG